rnacentral:lncRNA from 1 species
GAAUUUUUUCUCCACACACUCCCUCCCUUUUGGAUGUCAAAACUUGGUGCUUAUCUCUCCUUGCCAUCCCAUAUAGGUGGGGUUUAAAUAGACAAAGGAUGAGUUAGAGUUUGAAUGGGAGAUAGAGUCCAAAGAGCAUUGGACUCUCCCAAAAAUUGGAUGCCACCCCAUCAUGGAAUCACACCUCAUACUACACGGGAUAAGGGGGUUUAUAACUCCCUUCUUACACACUAAAAACAAAGAAAAAAAGGGCAUCAAAAAAAGUUGUGGCGUGGGACCUAUAGGUGCACAAAUCAGGUACAAGUUUGGACUCCUUUUGGCACAU